GUUCUCACUUCGGCAGCACAUAUACUAAAACUUAGAAUGGUACAAAGAAGAUUAGCAUGGCCCCUGCACAAGGAUGACACCAAAAUUUGUGAAGCAUUCCAUAUUUUC
rnacentral:snRNA from 1 species